AGCAAGUUGCUAGAGUGGCCUGCCACAGUGUAAGUUUUGUUCUUUAGCUCUUUGCAAUAAAUCUUGCUACUGCCCACUCUUUGGGUUUACACUGCAUUUAUGAGCUGUAACACUCAUGGUGAAGAUUUACAGGUUCAGUCCUGAAGCCAGCGAGACAAAGAACCCACUGGGAAGAACAAACAACUCCAGACGCCCCAACUUAAGAGCUGUUAACACCCGAAGAUCUGCAGCUUCACUUUUGAGCCAGCGAGACCACGAACCCACCAGAAGGAAGAAACUCUGAACAGGCUGGAACGUCAGAAGGAACAAACUCAGGACAUGCCACCUUUAAGAACUGUAACACUCACUGUGAGGGUCUGCGGCUUCAUUCUUGAAGGCUGUGAGACCAAGAACCCACCAAUUUCGGACACACUGGGACCACCCUCGCUGACUGGAGUGUGAUAUCUCCAAGGAAGCUUAAUCCAGAUGUUUAUGAAGCUAGCAUGGCACUUCCUACAAAUGCAAGGAUUGUGAGUGACUCUGGGGCCUCUAUUGCAAAUUGUUCUAGGGAGAAAUUUGCCUGUCCUGGUAUCAAGCCCUGGCUGGAAGCCAGAGAGAGGGUUACAGAAAGAGAUUAAGGUGUCAGUGCUGGAGGCAGAAGAGGCUAUUGGGCAAUUUGUUUGCCUGGUUCUACCGCACACCUGAUUUACACCCAGCUUGUGAAAACCUUA
rnacentral:lncRNA from 1 species